rnacentral:rRNA from 1 species
AACGAACGCUGGCGGCAGGCUUAACACAUGCAAGUCGAGCGCCCCGCAAGGGGAGCGGCAGACGGGUGAGUAACGCGUGGGAAUCUACCCAUCCCUACGGAAUAACGCAUGGAAACGUGUGCUAAUACCGUAUACGUCCUUCGGGAGAAAGGUUUAUCGGAGAUGGAUGAGCCGACGUUUGAUUAGCUAGUUGGUGGGGUAAAGGCCUACAAAGGCGACGAUCAAUAGGUGGUCUGAGAGGCUGAUCAGCCACACUGGGACUGGGACACGGACAAGACUCCAUCGGGAGUCAGCAGUGGGGAAUAUUGGACAAUGGGCGCAAGCCUGAUCCAGCCAUGCAGCGUGAGUGAUGAAGGCCCUAGGGUUGUAAAGCUCUUUCACCGGUGAAGAUAAUGACGGUAACCGGAGAAGAAGCCCCGGCUAACUUCGUGCCAGCCGCCGCAGUAAGAC